rnacentral:rRNA from 1 species
UACGGUAGGCAGCGAGCGUUGUCCGGAAUUAUUGGGCGUAAAGAGCUCGUAGGCGGUUCGUCGCGUCGAAUGUGAAACCCGGGCUCAACUCCGGGACCUGCAUUCGAUACGGGCGGACUAGAGGUAGGUAGGGGAGAACGGAAUUCCUGGUGUAGCGGUGGAAUGCGCAGGAUAAUCAGGAGGAACACCGGUGGCGAAGGGCGG